rnacentral:pre_miRNA from 12 species
UCUUGAUCGUCCUGCGGGGUGUCUUGCAGGCCGUCAUGCAGGCCACCUUGACGGUAACGUUGCAGGUCGCCCUGCGGGGCUUCUCGCAAGACGACAUUCUCCUCGUUAACGAUG